AGUGAACGCUGGCGGUAGGCCUAACACAUGCAAGUCGAACGGCAGCACAGUAAUAGCUUGCUCUUACGGGUGGCGAGUGGCGGACGUGUGAGGAAUACAUCGUAAUCUACUUUUUCGUGGGGGAUAACGUAGGGGAACUUACUCUAAUACCGCAUACGACCUACGGUUGAAAGCAGUGGAUCUUCGGACCUUGCGCGAUUGGAUGAGCUGAUGUCGGAUUAGCUAGUUGGCGGGGUAAAUGCCCACCAAGGCGACGAUCCGUAGCUGGUCUGAGAGGAUGAUAAGCCACACUGGAACUGAGACAGGGACCAGACUACUAAGGGAGGCAGCAGUGGGGAAUAUUGGACAAUGGGGGGAAGCAUGAUCCAGCCAUACCGCGUGGGUGACGAAGGCGUUGGGGUUGUAAAGCCCUUUUGUUGGGAAAGAAAAGCAGCCGGUUAAUACCCAGCUGUUCUGACGGUAACCAAAGAAUAAGCACCGGCUAACUUCGUG
rnacentral:rRNA from 1 species